UUGAACGCUGGCGGCAGGCCUAACACAUGCAAGUCGAACGGUAACAGGAAACAGCUUGCUGUUUCGCUGACGAGUGGCGGACGGGUGAGUAAUGUCUGGGAAACUGCCUGAUGGAGGGGGAUAACUACUGGAAACGGUAGCUAAUACCGCAUAACGUCGCAAGACCAAAGAGGGGGACCUUCGGGCCUCUUGCCAUCGGAUGUGCCCAGAUGGGAUUAGCUAGUAGGUGGGGUAACGGCUCACCUAGGCGACGAUCCCUAGCUGGUCUGAGAGGAUGACCAGCCACACUGGAACUGAGACACGGUCCAGACUCCUACGGGAGGCAGCAGUGGGGAAUAUUGCACAAUGGGCGCAAGCCUGAUGCAGCCAUGCCGCGUGUAUGAAGAAGGCCUUCGGGUUGUAAAGUACUUUCAGCGGGGAGGAAGGGAGUAAAGUUAAUACCUUGGCUCAUUGACGUUACCCGCAGAAGAAGCACCGGCUAACUCCGUG
rnacentral:rRNA from 1 species